GGUUGUAGACGUACAAUGGUAUUAAUUCUAGUAUAACUUUCCAUCACGCGUCGCCCUAAGUGUGUACUGUGCAGGUCGAGUCGAGCAGUUGUGGUGAUCUUUACAGCACUUCGAAAUACACCAGAGUUUCGACACUUCAUUUCGAAUAGUUGCACCGCGCAUGCUGAACAAAAUGGCUGUUGUAUCUUACUGUCUGGUUGGUGUCCUUCUUCUGACUGCUCUGGUGAGCGGGCAAGGGGAUCUGCUGGCUUCCGAACCACAGUUGGAACUUCUCAACGGGAAGGUUAAGAUCGACACGGAUGUGCUUCGUCCACUUGUGGACAGCAUGACGAAGAAUCCUUUCCUGUGCACCGCCUGCGAGAACUUUGUGCAGUUCCUGAGAAACGCUACUGACAACCAGCAACUACUGGGUGAGCUAGUGACUCUUCUCUUGCCCGUAUGUGACUGGUUUCCAUUCGCACUGCAUGAGGAAUGCCUAGGUGCUGUCCGUGAAAUACCCACACUUGUGAAGAUGUACGCUAAUUUGUAUUUGGACCCGAAGAUAGAUUGCGCCCUCCUCUGCGCAGCAUCUCGCAUGGCCAAUGCGCCCAACCCUGUUCCCUUGACGGUGAACGACCUCGUGCAGAUGAUGGAGAAGAAGCCAGCUAAACAAUAAACAACCGAUUUGGAAGGAGGUUGUCAUUUCAACCGAGGCUAGUCUCUUGCACCUUAGCUACAUACCGACCGAUUUCUUUCACACGACCGAUUUCUUUCACACGACCGUUGAGUUUAGAGUAGCUUUUACGAAUUCAGAAGUGCCAGUUAUGAACUUCAGUUUUCAGAAUUAUUGAAACAUCAGAAACAUAUCUGGGUCUGUUCAUAAAAAAAAAAUCUUUCAAGUGUUCUAUGAAGAUGCACAUUUUUGCAAAUCAUACGCACUGUUUCGAAUGUGUCAAUGUUAUAUCGCAUGAUCAGUUAGCCUUAUACAAAAGUACCAACAAACACCCCAAUAUUUUGCUUUGAGGUCAAGACUGAAUAAAAACUUUUUUGUAUUAAGUUUUUGUCUUAUCAUAAGCUUUGGUUGGAAUAAAAAUGUCGUGAAAUCAAAUCAGAAUGUCGUUUGUAUAAAUGCUUUGUUUCCCCGUUGAUUUUCAACCCCGUUUGGACA